rnacentral:rRNA from 1 species
CGAACAGAGAAGGAGCUUGCUCCUUUGACGUUAGCGGCGGACGGGUGAGUAACACGUGGGCAACCUACCUUAUAGUUUGGGAUAACUCCGGGAAACCGGGGCUAAUACCGAAUAAUCUGUUUCACCUCAUGGUGAAAUAUUGAAAGACGGUUUCGGCUGUCGCUAUAGGAUGGGCCCGCGGCGCAUUAGCUAGUUGGUGAGGUAACGGCUCACCAAGGCGACGAUGCGUAGCCGACCUGAGAGGGUGAUCGGCCACACUGGGACUGAGACACGGCCCAGACUCCUACGGGAGGCAGCAGUAGGGAAUCUUCCACAAUGGGCGAAAGCCUGAUGGAGCAACGCCGCGUGAGUGAAGAAGGAUUUCGGUUCGUAAAACUCUGUUGUAAGGGAAGAACAAGUACAGUAGUAACUGGCUGUACCUUGACGGUACCUUAUUAGAAAGCCACGGCUAACUACGUGCCAGCAGCCGCGGUAAUACGUAGGUGGCAAGCGUUGUCCGGAAUUAUUGGGCGUAAAGCGCGCGCAGGUGGUUUCUUAAGUCUGAUGUGAAAGCCCACGGCUCAACCGUGGAGGGUCAUUGGAAACUGGGAGACUUGAGUGCAGAAGAGGAUAGUGGAAUUCCAAGUGUAGCGGUGAAAUGCGUAGAGAUUUGGAGGAACACCAGUGGCGAAGGCGACUAUCUGGUCUGUAACUGACACUGAGGCGCGA